CUGCCUGACAACCCAUGCCGAAAGUAUAGGGAAUUUAAUUUGCUAGCACUAUAUUUAACCCUAUAACUUUCCAAGACACCAUAAAACCUGUAAACUGUUUUACUCGGGAGACUUCGCUGAACACAAAUAUUAGUGUUUCAAAACAGUAAAAUGUAUUACAACAAUGAUAUCGCCAGUAAAAGUGAAGUUUUUUGCAUUUUUCACGCACAAACAGCACUUACAUGGAUG